ACGCGCACGACGUCAUGACGUCACAGGGGAAUUAAGUUUGUAAAUGUGUUUUGUGUGUGUGUUGCUCGGAUUCCUUCCGCAGAUUUUCUCUUGUUUGUGAAUGCGUCUGUGUCAUUGCAAUAAACGCUCUAAGACUUGGCGUUGGUUUUGGCUGACUCGUAUUUAUUUUACAUUUAUCUCUUGAUUGUUAUACUUGAGUCGUUUGCAAGCACAGUUGAUAGAGUAAAGGCAGGGAGCUCAUGAUUUCUACCAGAGCAGAUCGACAGGACUGACAUCCUGAAAGCAGUCAACAGAUCGAAGGACCUUAGCAUUGCUGCUGUCCUUACCUGGUGAAAGGAUGCAGAUGGCCAUGAGUAGAACAUGUUCUUCUUCGUGCAAAUUUAGAUUCUUUAGGCCAACCUGAAAUUUUACCAGUGGCUCCAGCAACUCCUUUGAAUGACCAGCUGGAAAGGAUAAAAGAGUGAAAAUCUCUCUGGAUAAAUUUCUAAAUACACUCAGGACCUGGAACAAAAUCUGGAAUUGUGAUACCACAGAAAAAUAACCUGUUACAUGACUGAAUUUCUAUUGCACUGGUACACAGAGCUCUACUCAGUGCUCAAUAAUAGAAGAGAAGGAAAAAGGAGAGCUCAAGGUGGACAGGACAAAGGUCAGCUAUUAACUUUUGACAGCUCAUUCAUUGUCAUAAGUUACAGUUCUAGCAAAACAAAAUUAA